GACGAACGCUGGCGGCGUGCUUAACACAUGCAAGUCGAACGGAAAGGCUCCAGCUUGCUGGAGUACUCGAGUGGCGAACGGGUGAGUAACACGUGGGUAAUCUGCCCUGCACUCUGGGAUAAGCCUGGGAAACUGGGUCUAAUACUGGAUAUGACCUUUCUCCUUAUGGGGUUUGGUGGAAAGUUUUUCGGUGUAGGAUGAGCCCGCGGCCUAUCAGCUUGUUGGUGGGGUGAUGGCCUACCAAGGCGACGACGGGUAGCCGGCCUGAGAGGGUGAUCGGCCACAUUGGGACUGAGAUACGGCCCAGACUCCUACGGGAGGCAGCAGUGGGGAAUAUUGCACAAUGGGCGGAAGCCUGAUGCAGCGACGCCGCGUGAGGGAUGACGGCCUUCGGGUGGUAAACCUCUUUCAGCAGGGACGAAGCGUAAGUGACGGUACCUGCAGAAGAAGCACCGGCUAACUACGU
rnacentral:rRNA from 1 species